AUACCUUUCUCGGUAUUUUGGCUAAGAUCAAAUGUGGCAUCCGUUCUUUAUCAAUUUAAUAUCUGAUAUGUGAACCAUGUGUUACAACAAUAUUAAAUUUAUUUUGUAUGGGAGAGGAUCCACCAUGGUAGCUUGCAGCCGGGGCUCUAACGUGCCGCCCAGGUGUUGUACUAUUGCUUGGGCCUGGCACAUCCCAA
rfam:Triticum aestivum genome assembly, contig: Triticum_aestivum_CS42_TGACv1_scaffold_408064_5BL